UACGAAGGGGGCGAGCGUUGUUCGGAAUUACUGGGCGUAAAGGGCGCGUAGGCGGCCCUCUUUGUCGCGUGUGAAAGCCCCGGGCUCAACCUGGGAGGUGCGCUCGAGACUGGCGGGCUGGAGUUCGGGAGAGGAGCGUGGAAUUCCCAGUGUAGAGGUGAAAUUCGUAGAUAUUGGGAAGAACACCGGUGGCGAAGGCGGCGCUCUGGACCGAGACUGACGCUGAGGCGCGAAGGCGUGGGGAGCAAACAGG
rnacentral:rRNA from 1 species